AACCGCCUGGGGUUCCUUUUCCCUGAAUAUUCUUUGUCGAAUAGUGUUUAGAUCAACUUGUAACUUUAGCACUUUCCUGUAAUUGUAGCUUGUCAUUUAGGACCUGGUGACCCUGGAGGUAGCUCCUGACCUUCCCCAUCAGGACCCUGGUGGAGCCAAGCAGCCCUGCUGUCUUCCUGCUGUUGUCAGGAUGGCACGGCAUCUAUUUUACCGCCAACUGGAAUCGCUGCCCAGAGGAUAUCUCCACGUCGAUGCGCCGGCCCCCUGCUCUGUCCUGGUUCUUAGAAGCACAAGCCUCUGCAGGCACCUCCGGGAGCUGUUGCAGCAUCCAAGCCCGGCCUUCUUAGCCCUGCGAUGCCCUUGCCGGGGGACUGGUAACUCUGCAGCCAGUGAGUCCCAGCUCGGGUAACUGAAAUGGAGAACAUCUGCCCUGCAAAUCCCGUGAUGAACGGUCACCGGAAGUGGACCUAUGAAGAGGAGGCCGUGGGCCAACAUCUGAGCUCCCUGAGCCGGGCAGAUUUCAAGUCCGACCCACACCUAAUCCUUCUUGAUCCAAGUUAAUUUUCUAUGGGAAAUCCAACGGGAAAAGGCUUUCUAAUUUAGUGGUGUUUUGAGACUUAAGCAACACUGGUCAAUAACAGAAGGAGAAAAUGGUGGUUUGGAUAUUCAAUGGCUUUUGGUUGACAAUAUUUUGAUCACGAGGAGUUAGGGGAAUUUUCAGUGUGAGGCCCUCCUCCCGGGAGAAGGCUGAGAGCACAGCAGGGCCAGCCUUUGGCCUCAGGCAGGAUUCUCCUUAUUACGGUAAUAAUUGCCGUUAUUAACAAUUAUAAGCAAUUAUUCUUCGCCUGUUUUCUAGCCAUCAACCCUCGGCUGCCAUUGGAGGAGAGAUCAUGGUGGUGGUUCUCAUUACCCUUCAACACCUCCUUGCUGCCAGCCUGAAACUGCCUUGAGUGGGAGUUUACGGUUCAUAGGAUUCUUUCCCCUAUAUUCCAGGCAGAAGGAAAAUCCUAUCUUGGUUUCAAACUUUUCUCCAGCUUUAACAUUAUUUUUCCAUCUACACUGAGGAAGUAGUUCUUUCUUAAAAUACACUAGCCUCUGGAACCUCAGAGAGUCUGUAGACAGAAAGACGAAGAUGGAAAACAAAAGGUAAUGUGCCUGGAGGUUCAUAGGUGAGAGGUCAGGGGGCAAGGAACCACUGUGGAGUCUGUGAUUAUUAACACAGGAUGGGAGCAAGAAAGUAGCUCUUUGUGGCUAUUGGACUGGCUCUGCCACAAACCAUUGGAACACUCAGCUUUGAAGGAUGAAAACACCAGCCCUGGACUUUGGUGUCGUCCUCCGACCGGCAGAGGCUGUUGGCUAGACGCGUGUCACGUCACAUCUGACGCUUGAUGGGCACAAGGGAGCUGCCCCCCUCCUCCUUGCCCGCUCUCCAUCCAGCGGGGACCUUGGCACUUGGCUCCAUGGCCGGGGCAGUACGGCCGGGGUAAGGAUGAGUGCGGCCGUGCACAGCUGCGCAUUGUGGCUGAGGCUUCUUGUGAUUGCUGUGGACGGAGUGGCGUUGACUGUGGUGUCCUGUAACCAAGAUUAGUCGGCAAUUCCGGAAAUCGGAGGGUAAAAAUAACUGCAGAGCCGCCAGCCCCCGGCCAGUGCCACCACUGGAGAGAGGAAUGGUGUCUGGAAAGUGCUGAGUGUCAUGAUCUUUGCUUCCUUCCGGUGGUGGGAGGUUCUCAGAAUAAGAUCUGGGCUUUGGAUUUCCCCCAAAGGGUUUCUCAGUGCUCCACGGCCUGCUGAGUCAGUGGAGUCGAGCUCGGGUGGACUUUCAAGGAGGGAUGUUGGGUUUUGAGAGAGGGGGCGAACGGGGUGGCCAACCGGGGCUGAGCCUGGGGAGGUAAGCGCUGAGGGCGCCCACUGGUCGUGUGGACCUCCUGUGCCUCCAGCGUCUGUCACCGAGGGUUCGUGGCCUCCCAACCACCCUCCGAAGUAGAUGCCUCAGACCCAAAGCCUCUUCCUGCUCCGUUGUUCUUGCCUCUUGGCCAACUCUGCCUCCAGACAUUGACAUCUAUUGACUAACAUCCUCACCCAGGUUCUUCCUCUUCUGUUGCCCCAGGAAAUCUGGUUAAAUGCCAAGUUCAUGGUCCUGUUCCCAUCCCUUUGGUACCAUCACACGUGCUCUGCAUUUGGUCUUAACCCUGAACCCCUCUGUACCAUAUUCUCCAUGUUUUUCUGGGAAAUGUUCAUUGCAAAACACCGCUCUGGGACCCCCUGAGAAAUAGAAAACAGAAGCUUUCUACUCAUGGCCCACAGAGAAGCUGGACUAACUUGGACUGAGGGGAAUGUGCAUUUGAACUGAAUGUGCAUCUGAAUUCUAGAACAUCCCGAGGAGGGGGCAAGUCUUACUAUUUAAAAGCUCACAUAAUAAUUUCAACUAGGCUUACUAAAGUUGAGAUGGUAUCAGCCUUUUGAUCUCUUGCUUUGAUAUCCAACUUGAUGGGAAUAAUUCUAAUCACUAAGUUAAUCUCUCAAAUUAAAAGUGUUUCUGAAGGAAAUGUGUUUCUAAAAUUGGUGAUUGCGGCCUAAGCUUUUUUGGACCUUGCCAAACCCAAUUCAUUCCUCUGGUCA